AUUGAACGCUGGCGGCAGGCCUAACACAUGCAAGUCGAACGAGUGGCGGACGGGUGAGUAAUGUCUGUGAAACUGCCCGCUGGAGGGGGAUAACUACUGGAAACGGUAGCUAAUACCGCAUACCAUCGGAUGUGCCCCGAUGGGAUUAGCUUGUAGGUGAGGUAACGGCUCACCUAGGCGACGACCCCUAGCUGGUCUGAGAGGAUGACCAGCCACACUGGAACUGAGACACGGUCCAGACGCCUACGGGAGGCAGCAGUGGGGAAUAUUGCACAAUGGGCGCAAGCCUGAUGCAGACAUGCCGAGUGUAUGAAGAAGGCCUUCGGGUUGUAAAGUACUUUCAGCGGGGAGGCGUUACCCGCAGAAGAAGCACCGGCUAACUCCGUGCCAGCAGCCGCGGUAAUAC
rnacentral:rRNA from 1 species